UGCCCUCCCUGCCAGCUGCAGCCCGUGCGCGAUGUGCUUGCUGCCCUACGGCUUCGAGCCCCCAGCUCCCGAGGACUUGGGGCGGCAGAGUUUGGCGGAGCUGCGGGAGAGGUUGAGGCGCCAGGAGAGACUUUUGUGCAAUGAAAAAUUCAUUUGCAAAUUGCCCAACAAAGGUAAAAAGAUCUCGGACACCGUUGCCAAACUGAAAGCUGCCAUUUCAGAUCGUGAAGUAACGGUUAAAGAGAGAAGUGAACUGUUUCAUCCUGUUAGUGUAGACUGUAAGCUAAGGCAAAAAGCAACCACAAGAGUUGAUACCGAAGUAGACAAGGCCCAGAAUUCUGACCUGAUGCUUGAUACUUCAUCAUUAGUUCCUGAAUGUUCCUCAGCAGACAUAAAAUCAUCUAAAGAAACCUCAGAAACACAGGCACCUACACAUCUCACUCACAAAGGCAAUGAAGAGACUUAAGGAGCUGGCUGCACGGUGAACACUGGCCCAGCUGCCCACAUCAGAGCCUGGGCACCCUCAUCUGAAAUUAACGAACAUCUCCCCCAGCACCCUGUUUCAAGUCAAGAGGAAGAGACUUCCAGCAGUAUCAACAGUCUGUUUAUCAGUAAACUGCAAAAGAUCACAAUUGCAGACCAGAGUGAACCCUCAGAAGAAAACACCAGCACCAGUAACUUUCCCGAGCUGCAGAGUGAGACUCCUAAGAAGCCUCACUACAUGAAAGUGCUAGAAAUGAGAGCCAGAAACCCAGUGCUCCCUCCUCAGAAGUUUAAGACCAAUGUGUUACCCAGACAACACAGUGACUCAUCAAGUCAUUGUCGGAGGGGCCAAUCUCCAGCUUUGGAAGAGCAGUGAUGCAGGGCUAGGCAGCAUCUUGAUGACAUCACAGCAGCGCGUCUCCUUCCACUCCACCACCUGCCUGCACAGCUGCUCUCCAUAGGAGAGUCUGGCUCUGCAGAAAGAGCAGAAGCAGAAUUAUGAGGAGAUGAGAUGCAGGCAAAGCUCGCAGCACAAAAACUAACCCAGAGACUGAAUAUUAAAAUGCAGAGCUAUAAUCCAGAAGGGGAGUCUUCAGGGAGAUACCGAGAAGUGAGGGACGAAGACGAUGCCCAGUCCUCAGAUGAAGGCUGAAGAUGAGUGCUGGACGAUCCCGAGAGCUGACUGUUGAGCUUUCAUUGUCCCAUCAAACUUCCUAACAAGUAUCAAGACCGGUGUCAGACCUUGUUGAGGGACAUAAGUUUUUUAAGUUUCACAAAGGUAGCUACAAAAUAAGAACCCAGUUUGUCUUUCAGAAGAUGAUCUUCACAUGCUUGAACAGUUUAAUAUUUGAACAUUGUGUUUGGCCGUAUUGUGUUACAGUUUUGCAUGGGUCUGAUAUUUUAGUGCACCUAAAGUGAAUUAGGAAGACCUGGUUCCCCUGCUGGAGAAAUGAAGGGAGCAGUCUAAAGCGUGGUACACAUGCUUGCAUGGACAUGUUCCUGAGAUGCUGAAUGUGAAAUACUGUGGAAGACACUCCGAGAUUUUACAGCAAGUGCAUUUGCUGCUCCUGUCUUCUCUUGGGGUGACUGCUGUCUUCCUAUGAUGAGGAUAAGGAAUACUUUGAAGAGGUGCUGGGUCGAGGAGGCUCUUCUGAGCUGGUGUGGGGAGCUGCUUCUGGCUUCCCUUGGCUUGAACUCAUUGCUGUCUUGGGUGAUAGGUUCCUGUACAGGACACUCAUGUUUGGUAAGGAAACCGAUGUUUUCCUAAGAGUUACAGUUGACUUGUCAGUAUAUUGCUUUUUUCAUUUUUAAACCCAAAGAGGUGUUUAUAGGCUGCAGAAACCUCAGUCAUGUAUGUACACAUUUGUGUUGUUUAAAAUGAUUAUAUGAUUGUUUUGUGCAAAGAUAACAAUAUGUUAUCAAAAGCCUUUGUUUAUUAUGUGGAACUUGUAAGGGAGAAAUAAAACA